rnacentral:pre_miRNA from 1 species
AGUACAAUUGCUGGAUCAUAUGGUAAGAAUAUAUUCAGUUUUGUAAGAAACUGCCAAGCUGUCUUCCAAAAUGGUUGUGCCAUUUUGGAUUCCCAGCAGCAAU